AGUUGCGAUCAUACCAGCACUAAUGCAUCGGAUCCCAUCAGAACUCCGCAGGCAAGCGUGCCUAGGCAAGAGUAGUACUAGGAUGGGUGACCUCCUGGGAAGACCCGUGUUGCAGUUC
rnacentral:rRNA from 1 species